rnacentral:rRNA from 1 species
AGCGAACGCUGGCGGCAGGCCUAACACAUGCAAGUCGAACGGACUUUUCGGGGUUAGUGGCGGACGGGUGAGUCACACGUGGGAACGUGCCUUUAGGUUCGGAAUAGCUCCUGGAAACGCGUGGUAAUGCCGAAUGUGCCCUACGGGGGACAGAUUUAUCGCCUUUAGAGCGGCCCGCGUCUGAUUACCUAGUUGGUGAGGUAAUGGCUAACCAAGGCUACGAUCAGUAGCUGGUCUGAGAGGAUGACCAGCCACAUUGGGACUGAGACACGGCCCAAACUCCUACGGGAGGCAGCAGUGGGGAAUCUUGCGCAAUGGGCGAAAGCCUGACGCAGCCAUGCCGCGUGGAUGAUGAAGGUCUUAGGAUUGUAAAAUCCUUUCUCCGGUGAAGAUAAUGACUGUAGCCGGAGAAGAAGCCCCGGCUAACUUCGUGCCAGCCGCCGCCGUAA